rnacentral:lncRNA from 1 species
CGGCGUAUGGUGUCUGGAGUACGCAGAAUUCCCUUUGGGGCAUUAGCUGCCACUUUUGCUGCCUCUGAAUAGUUCCCUUGUGCAAACAAUGCAUUGAAUUUUCUGGCAAAAAGUUCCUCAGCUCCAGCCAGGUUGUUGCGGACAGCCAUCCGUAAAGCUAGGUCAGGAUUCUGCAGAACAUUUGUGAUGUAGGGAAUAAUAUUCUCUUCUUCCACACAAACUGAUAACACUUGUCCCUUCCUGUUUACUCCUAUAAUUCCAGCUGUUGCUUCAUGCUGUGCAGUAACAAAUAUGGUCUCUCCACUGAUUCUGUUCAUGUAGAUACAGGUGCCAGUUUCCAGGUCAUACAAGUGGAUAUAGCCAUACUUUGUUAUCAGAAACACCACAUCAUGCUUGUCGCUGAUCUGCAUCGCAACAGGAAAGUCAUUCUGUGCUUCAGGAGGAAAGAAGACAUCCACUGCUUUCUUUGGGAAGGGCUGAUUCCCCGUUGGUGGUGUGCCAACCUCGAUGAUGUGCAACUUACCCCCAGCUUGCCCUCUUACUGCAAAACAGAAGAGAGUGGAUUCUUCAGCGUUUCCUUCCAUCUUGAACUGCGCAAAGCUAGCUGCGUGCCCCUCGAUCGGCUGUGAAACUUUUCUGUCUACAGAAUAGAGCUGCAUUGCUCCCACAACACGGUUUUGCUGUGCAGAUAUGCCAGUUAGCAGUAGCCAUUUCUGCUUUGCAUCAGUACGGUAGUUGAUGAUCUGGCAGCCAGCAAGACUAGAGUGGCGAUCAAACAUUUUCACAGGCUGGGACUCCCCCUCCAUACUCCAAUGGUAGACUGCAUUAUCCGUUACAAGGGCAACAGUAUUCAGAGAGAUCCACUUCCAGAAGGUGACGUCAUCUGUCAUCGUAUGAGCCUUCAUUUUGCUCUUCAUUUCAAUGUUAAAUAUUUGAAGCGUUUUUCCAGCUUUUAACGCAAUGACUUUACUGGCAGGGUUCAUGAUAGCACUGUCAGCUGAAAUUGGUCUUCGAAUUGGGUUGCUGGGGUCAUUCAUGUCAAUGAUCACCACUUGAGCCUGUUCUCCUACUUUCUCUCUUAUGCAGAUGAAUUUGUCUGACUCCAUCGUCAGAGUGCUGAACCCAAUGUUUGCUGGGUUGAUGCCCAGAUUUUGGAGCUGGAGGUGCUCCUGGAAGCGGAUCGGCAGUAUUUGGGCCAUGGCGGUGGCUGCGGGCUGGGGCUCCAGGCCGGGGCCGGACCGGCGUCGCGCCUCAGCGGGGUGCGGGCGGCGCGGGGAAGCGGCACCGCAAUGGCGGAACGGGCCACAGCGGGAGGGCAGAGCCGCGGCGCUCCGGAAGCUGCCCCCGCCGGCGGAAGGAUACCGCCGCGGAAGGAAGAGGCCGGGCCUCACCUGCCGGGCGCCGCCUGCGCUGCGCGGAAGGAUCCCUACGUCCCCGUGACUCACCCGCCGCCGCGCCAAUGGGAGCAGCGGAGGGAUCGGCCACCGGAAGGGACUAUUUCGAGACUCAUCACUCCUCCCCCCCUCCUUCCCCCCCCUUUUUUUUUUUUUUUUUUUUUUUU